AUACUUGAUCCAUGUCGUUGGUUAUAUUGAUAUACGUGAUCUAUGUUGGUUCUAGUUACGCAAGAGUAACUAAGAGCUCUUAGAUCCUAUGUUGGUAUUAUUGAUGGACCGGAUUAUUCAUGACAAUUUUAUAAUGAUAGCAAUUUUGAGCUCAUAAGGUUAUAUUGUAACAUAUAGUGCUAAGGUUUGUACAUAUGUAUGAGUAUAUCGCCCAAGUGGGAGAUUGUUAGAUAUAUGGAC
rnacentral:lncRNA from 1 species